rnacentral:piRNA from 1 species
UGCUCCAGGUGUGAAAUGACU